GCUAGCGGUCAAAGUGCCGGGGCAACUCCUGUUCCCAUCUCGAACACAGAAGAUAAGCCCGGCAACGUUUUGGUUUGUACUGCGUCAUACGCGGGAAGGCUAGAAAGCUGCUGGCA
rnacentral:rRNA from 1 species